UACGGAGGGGCAAGCGUUGUUCGGAAUUACUGGGCGUAAAGGGCGCGCAGGCGGCUGCUCAAGUCAGGCGUGAAAGGCCUGGGCUCAACCCGGGAAUUGCGCUUGAGACUGGGCUGGCUUGAGUGCGGGAGAGGAUGGUGGAAUUCCCGGUGUAGUGGUGAAAUGCGUAGAUAUCGGGAGGAACACCAGUGCGAAGGCGACUUCCUGGCCUGUUCUUGACGCUGAGGCG
rnacentral:rRNA from 1 species